UACGGAGGGGGCAAGCGUUGUUCGGAAUUACUGGGCGUAAAGCGCGCGUAGGCGGCGAUGCAAGUCAGAGGUGAAAUGCCCGGGCUCAACCUGGGAGGUGCCUUUGAGACUGGUGUGCUUGAGUACGGAAGAGGUGAGUGGAAUUCCCAGUGUAGAGGUGAAAUUCGUAGAUAUUGGGAAGAACACCAGUGGCGAAGGCGGCUCACUGGUCCGUAACUGACGCUGAGGUGCGAAAGCGUGGGGAGCAAACAGGAUUAGAUACCCCGUAGUCC
rnacentral:rRNA from 1 species